ACCACGGAGCUAGAGUGUUGGAGAGGAAAGCGGAAUUUCCAGUGUAGCGGUGAAAUGCGUAGAUAUUGGAAGGAACAUCUGAGGCGAAGGCGGCUUUCUGGACAGACACUGACGCUGAGGCGCGAAAGCCAGGGGAGCAAACGGGAUUAGAUACCCCGGUAGUCCUGGCUGUAAACGAUGAACACUUGGUGUGGGGGGUAUAAAGUCCCUCCGUGCCGUAGAUAACUCGAUAAGUGUUCCGCCUGGGGAGUACGGCCGCAAGGCUGAAACUCAAAGGAAUUGACGGGGGCCCGCACAAGCGGUGGAGCAUGUGGUUUAAUUCGACGCAACGCGAAGAACCUUACCGGGGUUUGAACUGUACCUGCGACAUCCAGAGAUGGAUGGUUUCCUUAGGGAACUGGUAUAGAGGUGCUGCAUGGCUGUCGUCAGCUCGUGUCGUGAGAUGUUGGGUUAAGUCCCGCAACGAGCGCAACCCUUGUCUGUAGUUGCCAUCAGGUUAAGCUGGGCACUCUACGGAGACUGUCGGCGAUAAGCCGGAGGAAGGUGGGGAUGACGUCAAGUCCUCAUGGCCUUUAUGUCCCGGGCUACACACGUGCUACAAUGGAUGGAACAGAGGGCUGCGAGCCUGCGAAGGCAAGCGAAUCCCAAAAAUCCAUUCUCAGUUCGGAUUGCAGUCUGCAACUCGACUGCAUGAAGUUGGAAUCGCUAGUAAUCGCGGAUCAGAACGCCGCGGUGAAUACGUUCCCGGGCCUCGUACACACCGCCCGUCACAUCACGAAAGUGGGCUGUACUAGAAGCCGCUGGCCUAACCUCUUCGGAGGAGGGAGGCGUCGACGGUAUGGUUCAUGAUUGGGGUGAAGUCGUAACAAGGUAACC
rnacentral:rRNA from 1 species